UUAAAAUUAAAUUUACAAUUAUAUAAAGACUAAUGUGGAUAUAAAAUCUAUUUCAAACCGACCUAAUACACCUAUUUAAAAAUCAGCCUGAUAAUGCAAAUAAACACCUCAACUUCGGACAAUCUUAUUUAAAGGCAAGAAGUAUUCAAGUGUCAUAUUAUCGCAUACUACAGUAGAUUAAACAUUUUUUAGCAACAAUUUUCUCUAUUGUUUCCUUAUCCGAUCCGCUCAAAGCUUGAGCAUCAUACUUCUGUGAAACAACAAAAUGAAGAUGAAAAAGAUAACAAAUUUGAUUUAUAUCCUGGUAGCCAUUACAACAAGUGUGAUCCUUUAAUGGACUUGCAAUGCAGCAGAUCUAACAUUCAUAGUGACUAGGAGUGCUACCAGCCAAAGCUACUCCACACUAUUGAAUAACUUUCGAGGUAGAGUUAAAGAUCCAACCACUAAAUACGUUCAUUAAUGAUGAAAUCUAUAUAAAGAAGAAAUUUGAUAUUACGACAGAUCAAAAACUAGCGCUUAUGGUCAUCCAAACUAUUGCCAAAGCAGUGCGAUUCAAAUAUAUUGAGGGUGAAAUUUUGAGUAAAUUUGGCAGUAAGAAUGGAUUCAAAGCUAAAGCUAAAGCAAUCUCACUGGAGAACAAUUGGGAGAAAACCAGUAAAACUGUGAAGGAAUCUAUCGGUCCUAGAAUUGAUAUGGAAUUGAGAGAUAAAAAUGGUAAAAUAGUAUGGAAAUGGUUCCAAGUGGGAAAGUUAGUUGAUGUUAUCGGGAUUCUUAAACAUCUUAAGUAGCAUGUCAUUUGAAUAUAUUUAGUAGCUAAUAAUGAAUAAUGAAAUGCAACAGUAAGCUAUGAUAUUUUUUUUA